GAUCCUGGCUCAGAACGAACGCUGGCGGCAGGCCUAACACAUGCAAGUCGAGCGAACCCUUCGGGGUUAGCGGCGGACGGGUUAGUAACGCGUGGGAAUAUACCCUUUGGUACGGAAUAGCCUCGGGAAACUGAGAGUAAUACCGUAUGUGCCCUUCGGGGGAAAGAUUUAUCGCCAAAGGAUUAGCCCGCGUUGGAUUAGAUAGUUGGUGGGGUAAUGGCCUACCAAGUCUACGAUCCAUAGCUGGUUUGAGAGGAUGAUCAGCAACACUGGGACUGAGACACGGCCCAGACUCCUACGGGAGGCAGCAGUGGGGAAUCUUAGACAAUGGGCGCAAGCCUGAUCUAGCCAUGCCGCGUGGACGAUGAAGGCCUUAGGGUUGUAAAGUCCUUUCAGAUGGGAAGAUAAUGACGGUACCAUCAGAAGAAGCCCCGGCUAACUCCGUG
rnacentral:rRNA from 1 species